UGGUUGUGCAGCUGCACCGAUUAUCCCUUUACCGACACCUGAAACAAAACCCUCUACACCAGAUGCCUUUGCACCUUCUAAUGGCUUUGUUACUAUACCCAUUACUCCUCUAAUUAACCCCUUUGCCAGUGCUCCUCCCCCUUCUCUUAUCACAUCACCGAAAUCUUCAACACCUUUGUUUUCCUGUCUCUGUCGGCUUUGAAUAAACUUCUUGUCCAUUGAUAAGGCAGCUACACCUUUACUCAUAUGUCCAAAUGCACUGCUUGCAUUUCCCAGUAUAUCCACACCAGAAAGCAGCUGAAGAGGCUGACUUAGAAUAUCCUUUGUGAUAUUUGAGACGGCAUUGGUUGUAAGAACGCUUUGUCUCAUCGACAAGUUUUCCAGAAAUCUCUGAUUUACCCGCACCUGUGAUGGCAAUACGCAUAUUUUCCGUGUUCCCUAGAGCUGUCAUCAAGGAUGACCAGAAACCAAGUACACCCACAGGGCGCUGAGUUGGCGACAUAGCCAUGGAGAAUUUAAAUCGA
rnacentral:lncRNA from 1 species